rnacentral:rRNA from 1 species
GAUGAACGCUAGCGGGAGGCCUAACACAUGCAAGCCGAGCGGUAUUGUUUCUUCGGAAAUGCGAGAGCGGCGUACGGGUGCGUAACACGUGUGCAACCUGCCUUUAUCUGGGGGAUAGCCUUUCGAAAGGAAGAUUAAUACUCCAUAAUAUAUUGAACGGCAUCGUUUAAUAUUGAAAGCUCCGGCGGAUAGAGAUGGGCACGCGCAAGAUUAGCUAGUUGGUGAGGUAACGGCUCACCAAGGCGAUGAUCUUUAGGGGGCCUGAGAGGGUGAUCCCCCACACUGGUACUGAGACACGGACCAGAAUCCUACGGGAGGCAGCAGUGAGGAAUAUUGGGCAAUGGGUGCAAGCCUGAACCAGCCAUCCCGCGUGAAGGACGACUGCCCUAGGGGUUGUAAACUUCUUUUGUAUAGGGAUAAACCUACCCUCGAGAGGGUAGCUGAAGGUACUAUACGAAUAAGCACCGGCUAACUCCGUG